GAACGCACGUGCUGCUGAAAAUUGGGUUUAAUUGUAUGCUCGCGUUGUAUAUCGUAAUAGUGAGAAAAAUUGUGCUUUCAGUGAUUUGGUAUUCAGACUGGUAUUCGUAAAAUUAACAUUCAAUUGAGGUACUAAAGUGUAGUGCAAUUUGUGAUACAAUGUAUAGUGCAGUGAUGAGAGUGUAGUGUUAUAAUUAGCAAUGGAGGCGACAACUCUGCCCCUGGAGGCGGACGACGAGGGCAGGCCGCAGCAGGCCUCGUCCACCGGCAGCGGCUCUUCGUCUGGCGCUGGCUACUAUGGACACAAGAAUGGUGAAUGGCGCGGCGAAAGAAGAAUGCUGGACAUCACACGCGACAAGCCGGUGAAGGUGUGCGUGCGUGUGGUCGUGCCCGUCAGAGACCAUCCCAAAUUUAACUUUGUCGGGAAGCUUCUCGGGCCGAAAGGGAAUUCGCUGAAGCGUCUACAAGAAGAUACGAUGUGUAAAAUGGCUGUGCUAGGCCGAGGAUCUAUGAAGGAUAGACAGAAGGAAGAAGAACUGCGUAUGUCAGGUGACCCAAAGUUCUCUCACCUGUCGGAGGAGCUGCACGUGGAGAUCAGCGCGUUCGCGACGCCCGCUGAGGCGCACGCGCGCAUCGCCUACGCGCUCGCCGAGCUCAGGAGAUUCCUAGUGCCAGAUUACAACGACGACAUUCGACAAGAACAAAUGCUGGAGAUGCAGAUACUAUCCUCACAAAAUGAACAGCGAAGACUUACUCCACCAGAAUCUUCGAGAAGUAACAGCGAGGAAACUUUGCCAAUACGGGACACAGUGAAACAACGGGUACAAGUGGCCCCAGUAUCCCAGCCCUCACUAGCGAGUGCCCCCGUGCUGCCGGUGCACGCUCCGAGCGCGCGCGACUACUCGCCGCCCGCGCCCACCCCCGCCCCUGAACAUCUACCGCACCAUCAGUUAACAAGCCCAGCUGGUCACGGCUUGCUAGUUGGAGGUGGUAUACUUCAACAAGCACCAACACAACAUCUACUCACACACAAUUCUAUACUAGGUGGCGGCGAUAUACUGGGGCUGAGCAGCCCCGUGCUGGGCGGCGUGCUGCACGCGCACCCCGCGCUGCGCGGCGUCAAGCCGGCCGCCGUGCACCUCGCCUCGCAAGGUCGGUGUUGGGUCGGGUGGGGGCACCCGCAAGCGGCCGCUGCUGGGCGGCGCGCGGGGCGCCAUCUCGCCGACUAAGCGCGCCGUGCUGUCGCUGCUCGCGCGCGCGCGCGCCGCCACGCACAAGCACGCGCACGAACACCCGGCUCUACUUCCACUGAUACGCGACGAGUUUGUGACAGGCGUCGGUGUUAAUAUCAAUUUAGCGUAAUAUUUAUAUGAAUAAAUAAACUUUAGUAAUAAAUUAUACACGCUGUUUCAAUAGAGUACAUGGACUUCUUGUAAAAGUUUUUGCUUUUCUGUUUUUAGUUAUAAGGAUAUAUGAACUGUUUUUAGGUUAACCCAAUUUCUUAGUCUUUUUUUUUUGGGAAAUAUCAAAAAAUACAAUGACAAUUUCUUGCUGUCAAGGGUGUGAAUAAAUUUGAAAAUUUAAUUUAUAUGAAUUGAACAAAAAGUUAUACACAAAAAGUUUUAUAUAUAUGUACUUACGAAGUUUUCGGGCUUUUUCUACAAUUUGAUAUACCAACCUACAAGACAAAUUGAUAAUGACCUUUAUUUCUAGUACUAAAUACUUAUUAUAAACAACCACCAGCAUCUUUAUUUUAUUAUAUUCUAGCCUUAGUAGCGCAUUUAGAUCAAAAUUAUUAUGUGCCGUCAAUUUAAAUGAACCCCAUUUAAGGCCUAAUUAGAAAAAAAGGACCAUAUGUAAAUAAUUUUCCCUCGCCUUCUAGUUGUAAAUAAUUAUAUUAAUAUAAAUGAAUAUAGAAUAUGUAUUUAUGACGUUAAGAGUUUAAUAUACUGGAUCGAACUUAAUCUUGAUACAAGAUGACUGAUUGAACGAAAAACACACGUUAAAGAUUCAAAUUCAUAAAAAAAUAAAAAUAAAAUAUUUUUAUUCAACAAACAAAGAAAUGCAAUUUGUAACUAGAGAUUAUUACAAAAUGAGUGACAUAAUAAAAUUUUCAACAAAAUCUCUCUUUUACUUAUAUUUUCGUUCAUACAGUAAAUAAAAAUAAAUUUUAAUAGAUCACUUAAAUACAUCUAUAUCAAGCACAAAAUUAUAAAAAAUACACAAUCAUUAGUAAUAAUUAAAUUUUAAGGCCUAUUCAAACUACAGCGGUAUCCGCUACCGCUGUGGGUAGCGAUAUACCGAUGGCACGCGAUUAGGGUCUCUAUAUGUAGUAAAUACUUCGUAAGAGAUACAAUCGC